ACAGUAAACUGCUUGCAGUCUGUGGAUCACUGGUUUCCGGAGACCUUAGCUGUAUUCCUUAUCAAAACUGGAAUAAAUCAGCUUUAUUAUAACUUUAUUGCCUGGUCCAAAUCCUUGCUUCGCAGAGAAAUUCUGAAACAAGACAAACUUCACUGUCACUGUGUUUGUGAUUCAGCUGCAAGGACUAUACAAAAGGAAGGUGGAAAAAACAGUUACCAUUCCACAUCAAACUUAAAAGGGAAUCAUGAGGAUCUCAUUUGCUUGUUUGCUGUUGCUUUCUGCUACAGUGAGCUCUCAGAAUGAGCCUUACAGAAAGUUUAUAAAUCAGCACAUCAACGGGGGAAUGUCUGUAAACAGGUGUGACCAGGUGAUAGGGGAGAGACAGAUCACCGAAACUGGCAGUAACUUGUGUAAAGACACCAAUACCUUCAUA